rnacentral:rRNA from 1 species
UACGGGGGGGGCAAGCGUUGUUCGGAAUUACUGGGCGUAAAGGGCUCGUAGGCGGCCAACUAAGUCAGACGUGAAAUCCCUCGGCUUAACCGGGGAACUGCGUCUGAUACUGGAUGGCUUGAGUUCGGGAGAGGGAUGCGGAAUUCCAGGUGUAGCGGUGAAAUGCGUAGAUAUCGGGAGGAACACCAGUGGCGAAGGCGACUUCCUGGCCUGUUCUUGACGCUGAGGCGCGAAAGCUAGGGUAGCAAACGGG